rnacentral:rRNA from 1 species
GGGGACAACAGUUGGAAACGACUGCUAAUACCGCAUAGUAAGGAACUGCCGCAUGACGGUUUCUUGAAAGAUUUAUCGCUAUGGGAUGGACCCGCGUCUGAUUAGCUAGUUGGUAAGGUAACGGCUUACCAAGGCGACGAUCAGUAGCCGGCUUGAGAGAGUGAACGGCCACAUUGGGACUGAGACACGGCCCAAACUCCUACGGGAGGCAGCAGUGGGGAAUAUUGCACAAUGGGGGAAACCCUGAUGCAGCGACGCCGCGUGAGUGAAGAAGUAUUUCGGUAUGUAAAGCUCUAUCAGCAGGGAAGAUAAUGACGGUACCUGACUAAGAAGCCCCGGCUAACUACGUGCCAGCAGCCGCGGUAAUACGUAGGGGGCAAGCGUUAUCCGGAUUUACUGGGUGUAAAGGGUGCGCAGGUGGCAGGGCAAGUCAGAUGUGAAAGCCCGGGGCUCAACCCCGGUAUUGCAUUUGAAACUGUCCGGCUAGAGUGCAGGAGAGGUAAGCGGAAUUCCUAGUGUAGCGGUGAAUGCGUAGAUAUUAGGAGGAACACCAGUGGCGAAGGCGGCUUACUGGACUGUAACUGACACUGAGGCACGAAAGCGUGGGGAGCAAACAGGAUUAGAUACCCUGGUAGUCCACGCCGUAAACG